rnacentral:rRNA from 1 species
AUUGAACGCUGGCGGCAUGCCUUACACAUGCAAGUCGAACGGCAGCAUGAUCUAGCUUGCUAGAUUGAUGGCGAGUGGCGAACGGGUGAGUAAUACAUCGGAACGUGCCCUGUAGUGGGGGAUAACUAGUCGAAAGAUUAGCUAAUACCGCAUACGACCUGAGGGUGAAAGUGGGGGACCGCAAGGCCUCAUGCUAUAGGAGCGGCCGAUGUCUGAUUAGCUAGUUGGUGAGGUAAAGGCUCACCAAGGCGACGAUCAGUAGCUGGUCUGAGAGGACGAUCAGCCACACUGGGACUGAGACACGGCCCAGACUCCUACGGGAGGCAGCAGUGGGGAAUUUUGGACAAUGGGGGCAACCCUGAUCCAGCAAUGCCGCGUGUGUGAAGAGGGCCUUCGGGUUGUAAAGCACUUUUGUCCGGAAAGAAAUCGCACUUACUAAUAUUAGGUGUGGAUGACGGUACCGGAUGAAUAAGGACCGGCUAACUACGUGCCAGCCGCCGCUGUAAAAC